rnacentral:rRNA from 1 species
AUUGAACGCUGGCGGCAUGCCUUACACAUGCAAGUCGAACGGUAGCGGGCCUUCGGGUGCCGACGAGUGGCGAACGGGUGAGUAAUGUAUCGGAACGUACCUUUCAGUGGGGGAUAAAGUAGCGAAAGUUACGCUAAUACCGCAUAUUCUGUGCGCAGGAAAGCAGGGGAUCGCAAGACCUUGCGCUGAUUGAGCGGCCGAUAGCAGAUUAGCUAGUUGGUGAGGUAAAGGCUCACCAAGGCGACGAUCUGUAGCGGGUCUGAGAGGAUGAUCCGCCACACCGGAACUGAGACACGGUCCAGACUCCUACGGGAGGCAGCAGUGGGGAAUUUUGGACAAUGGGGGCAACCCUGAUCCAGCCAUGCCGCGUGAGUGAAGAAGGCCUUCGGGUUGUAAAGCCCUUUCGGCCGGGAAGAAAUCGUAUCAGCUAAUACCUGGUGCGGAUGACGGUACCGGCAUAAGAAGCACCGGCUAACUACGUGCCAGCAGCCGCAGUAACAC